CUGACCGAUUUCUGUUCUCAUUCUGAGGUAAAGUUCUUAACCCAAGGUACUAUUUCUGGGUUAGCGGAGUCUGUAACCUGAAGCAUAUGUAACCUGAAGCGUAUGUAACCCGAGGUACCACUGUACAUAAUCCUCUCCCCCUCAGCAAAAACAGAAUUACCUGUCAUGAAAGAAGAUUGUAGCGCAGUGAUAUAGCACAUAGCUUGCUGACAGAAGUUUAAUCCCUGGCGAGGGCAGUCACAGCGACCAAGGGACUGCCCAGAAAGGUCCCAGAAAGCCUUUUUAGAUUAUAGAAAAGGCAAGUAAGACAAGGUGGGAAGACAUGAUAAGAGGUCUGUAAGUUUAUACAGCGUGAAGAAAGUGGAUGGGGAGACGUUUUUCUUGCUCUUCUCAUCAUAUUAAAACCUCAGGACACCCAAUGAAGCUAGAGGGCAGGAGAUCUCGGACCAGCAAAAGGCGAGGCUGCUUCACAAAUUGCAUACUUAAACUGUGGAACUCACUGCCCCAUGAUGCAGUGACGGCUUCCAACUUGGGCAGCUUACGGCGGGUUAGACAAAUUCACAGAGGUCAACGCUAUCAGUGGCUACUAGUUAUGAUGGAUAUAUAGUACCUACAGUAGCAGAGGCAGCCUGCCCCUGGGUACCAACUGCUGUGGAACAUGGGUGGGAGAGUGUUAUUGUGCUCAGAAGCAUUUAGCAAACCUCUGGGGGAAACGGAGAAUGCCGGACUAGAGAGGCCUUUGGUUUAAGAGGGUGAGAGACACUCACAGAGGUGUGCAAAGAGCCAAACAGAACCUCCUCGUGCAGGGGCAUUGUAUCUGAAUACCAGAUGCUGGGGUCAAGUAUCCCUCCGUCUGACAAAAAUGGGUCCUGGACCAUGAAAAUGAAUGUCACAAUAAAUCUGUUGGCCGGA